GAUGAAGAACGUAGCGAAAUGCGAUAAGUAAUGCGAAUUGCAGAAUUCAGUGAGUCAUCGAAUCUUUGAACGCACAUUGCGCCCUCUGGUAUUCCGGGGGGCAUGCCUGUCCGAGCGUCAUUUGCAACCCUCAAGCCCGGCUUGUGUGAUGGGUGCCGUCCCCUACGGGACGCGCCCCGAAGGCAAUGGCGGCGUCGCGGUUAUCCGAUCAGCCAAAGUGUAUGGGGCUUUGUCACUCACUUUACGGCCCGGACCGGCGCCAGUCCGAAUCAAUCUUUUUUCUAAAGUUGACCUCGGAUCAGGUAGGGAUACCCGCUGAACUUAAGCAUAUCAAUAAGCGGAGGA
rnacentral:misc_RNA from 1 species